UCAAGCUGUGUGUUUCCUUGUGUGCCUCCCCGUCAAAUGUAAGUUUAUAUUUCCCAGUUUAGUUUUGUAUGCUUUCCCCCUGCCAGCAAUAAAGCUGAGUUUUGAGUUCACCCUUCGAGUCUGAGUAUCUGCACCUUGGGUCCUACUCCUGCCUGCCACACAGCGUUUCAUGACAGAAAGUGACGUUUCCAUUGAGGCACACUUCUUCUUUUUAUUAAGGUUCACAUAAGAACUGAAAACAUUUUUUUGGUUCGUUUUUCCUCCUCGGGAAUAUCCCUUGAGUGUGUGUAGUUCCUGCUUCUAGGAGUCUUACACACGUCUUUGGAGGUCAGCACGUCGGCUGUGAAGGAUAAAGAAGGGAAGGUGAAGCUCACAUGGAGGAACGCCCCUCUGCCCCUCACUAGAAGCACUUACCAUAACAACUUGAUAAGCACAUUCCAAGCAGUACGACUUGCACACUAUGGGCUUGUGAUCAGGCUCAUGACUACUGAGGAGGCGGAGUCAAAAGGAAACCUAAUGACGCUAAUGACUCAUCACAUUUUGGCUUUGACGUGUUGAGUGUAUAGGAAAAAAAAUGGUGAGGAUGCAUCCCUAGGGCAACAUAGUGAAACAAGAACAUGUGUUAAAAUGCCAUUAACCUUCACCCACUGUGAUAGUUCAGUUAAAAAAAAAAAAUCCAUCAGUCAACAAAUUAGGCCACGAUCACUGCACUGCAUCCCCAUCAGGGACUUUACGCCCUUCCACACAGAGCAAAUACCUGGUACUGAGCAUAUUCCCUGCACUGUCCUUGUAGCUACAUUUAGCAAGUUUUAACUCCUUUUUAACUUGUUCCUGUAGUUCCUCCUAUUGAUCUACAUCCCACUGAUUAAAGAAGAUAAUUGGGAUAAUUUCUGACAGCUUUGGAGACUCAUGGUUUAUAACUGGGACAAAUGUAAAGUGAUAUGAGUUCAUGCAGGUUAGAGAUAUUAUUAAAGAAGUCCAAGCCAAUGUAACUGAAGCAGUCCUGGAGAAACUGAACAUACUUCUGCAACCAGACUGGGCUCAAAAUCUCUUCCACACUGAGUUUUACUAUGAAAUAAAAAUAACAAGUUUGAUCACUGGACAUACUAAAACACACAUGUAACUUUGUGGUUUCAGUGUGGACUGUGGCCUCAGAUUUGAACAUACUUUCUCAUACACUGUUUAAUGUGUUAAGGUUUUGGUGAUUCUUUCCUGUUGAUGAAGUUUCGUGACUACAAUAUUUAUCAUCUUAUUUUUACAAACUCAGAAUAUAAUGCGGCCUUCUCUUUACCAGAAAUAUCAAGUACUGUCUUACUUGCAGAAAUCUGACAGCAAGUAAUACAAUAAGGAAAUGGGAUUAAAAGAGACUCUGGUUAGUUUCCGAGGCUUGCGCAACAAGCUGGGAACUUCAAAACAGAAAAGGCGUAAAAUCUGACAGCAAUUUUAAAACUGCACCAUGGCGACAACUUACAUAUUUACAAACAUCGCACGUAUUGGCUAAACCUCGACACACCUCCAUCUCAAGCUUACUGGAAAACAAUAAAUAAUAAAUGGGUGUAGAUGCAAUGCAGGACAACUUUCCUCAGGUUGAGCAUGUGACUUAUAAUGUGUAUUGUUCUACUGUACUACGAACGCAUGCCUGCCCGACGUCAGUGACAAAGCAUCAGAGAUUGCUCAGGGCGCACUGAUCCUGAGCUCCAGUCAGCAAAUAAGUACAACAGUGAUUUGUUAAGCUGGUGUGUCUACCUGCGUCGGAGUGAUUUACACAAAUUACUGUAAUAGCCGUACCAUUGAAAAAUGAAAAAUGCAUCUAGUGUUGAUUUCUUCAGCACUGAUUAAAAGCCUAGUUAGCAGGAACAUCACAAAAUGCAAAUUAAAGACAUUCUGAAUGACUUUUAUCCAACUAAAUUCAGCAGGUUAAGGCAAGCAACCAAACUAAAGAAACCAGAUACCUUUUUUUGACAUACCAUCUCAGGCUAAGGCAAAUCAAGGUCUGGAUCAGGAUUUAAGGAAGUAUGAUGCGGAAAAAUCAUCUGACAUGAAUUAAUGGAAAGAUCAAAGCAAGAUAAAACUUGCACUGUGGAUUUUUUUGUCUUUCUCCUGUACUGAUUUCAACUUCCUUGCAAACUUUCAUGAGAAUAUAUGCCCAAAUAUGUGUUAUCUGCAAC